AUGGGCCAGGGCGAAUUGGGGGCCCCCGGAGUGGAGGGGGUGAGCGGGUUUUUAAGGUCACUUUGGAGGUUCUUAGGUCCUAAGCUCAUGAUUCUGAGCAGUUUGAUGAGCUGCCACAGGUGUGGAGUGAAAUUCCCCCGUUUCAGUCCUUGGGUGUCCUUGCAGUGCCCCCUCCACAGUUGUGACCUUGAGCAUGUUGCAUAGCUCUGAGCCUCACUUGCUGUAUCUGUAAAAUGGGAUGAUAGCGGUGCCCCUCCCGAGCCAGCCAGAGCAUGGGGUACUGUAAUGAUGCCUGUAAAUAGCCUGGUGUUGCACCUGGCACGUAGGAGGUGCUCAGGAAAGAGUGCUUUCAGGACUUGACUUCUUUUUCUUUUUUUAAUACAUUUAUUUAUUUUAUUUAUUUAUUUUUUUUUGGCUGCACUGGGUCUUCUUAGCUGCACACGGGCUUUCUCUAGUUGUGGCGACCGGGGCCACUCUUCGUUGAGACGCGCGGGCUUCUCAUUGCGGUGGCUUCUCUUGUUGCGGAGCAUGGUCUCUAGUUUCAUGACCUUCAGAGGUUUGGAAAUGUGAAGUUCCUUUUUUUGGCGCUGGCUCAUCUGUGGCUUUGGAAUUCUUCUGUCUAACCCGUGAAAGUGGCCAGAGCAGAGUUGUGUCCAGGCUGGUGGGGGAAAGGGAAAUACUGAUGGCCAGGGAAGUGUGGAACAAGGGCCCCUUUCCCCUUCUCACUUCUGACCACCUUCUCAGAGUCCCAUCACUUUCUUUUCUUCUUUCUUUUUUUUUUUUUCUUUUUGAA